UCGAUUAUAGACAGUUGAACCAAGUGAUAGUGAAAAAUAAGUAUCCAUUACCUAAAAUUAUUGAUUUAUUUGACAAUUACAAGGAUCACAAGUGUUUUAAAAAAUUGAUCUUAGAUCUGGAUACCAUCAGCUUAAGAUUAAAAGUGAAGAUGUUCCCAAGACAGCUUUUAGAACAAGGUAUGACCAUUAUGAAUAUUUAGUCAUGCCUUUUGGAUUAACAAAUGCACCGGCUGUAUUUAUGGAUUUGAUGAAUCGGAUCUUUAACCCCUUUUUGGAUAAAUUUAUUGUGGUAUUCAUCGAUGAUAUUUUAAUUUAUUCCAAGAAUCAGAACGAACAUGAGCAGCAUGUAAGAAUAAUAUUGCAAAUAUUAAGAGAAAAGAAAUUGUAUGCCAAACUUAGUAAAUGUGAAUUUUGGCUUGAACAAGUGACAUUUUUAGGACAUGUCAUAUCAAAAGAAGGUCUAUCAGUUGAUCAUUCAAAGGUUGAAGCCGUUGUUAAUUGGAAACAACGAAAUAAUGUGACUGAAGUUCGAAGCUUUUUGGGAGUGGCAGUUUAUUACAGAAAAUUUAAAGAAGAAUUUUCUCGAAUCGCAACCCCAUUGACUCGAUUGACACAGAAAAAUGUCAAAUUUGAGUAAACAAGUGAAUGUGAUGAGAGUUUUCAAUAACUAAAAGUUCGAUUAACUUCAACACCUAUUUUAACUAUUUCUGAGGGGAGUGAGGGAUUUGUGAUUUAUAGUGAUGCUUCACAUAAAGGCUUGGCCUGUGUAUUAAUACAGUAUAGGAAAGUAGUGGCAUAUGCAUCCAGACAGUUGAAAGAAUAUGAGAAAAAAUAUCCAAUUCAUGACUUAGAGGUGGCUGCAAUAGUAUUCGCUUUGAAAAUGUGAAGGCAUUAUCUAUAUGGUGAGCAAUUCAAAAUAUACACGGAUCAUAAGAGCUUGAAAUACCUCUUCUCUCUGAAAGAUUUAAAUAUACGGCAGAUAAGAUGGAUGAUUUUCUUAAAAGAUUAUGAUUGUACAAUCCAUUAUCAUUCAGGAAAAGCUAACGCUAUGGCCGACGCUUUAAGUAGAAAAUCUACGGGAGUCUUAGCUCAUCUAAUGAUCCAAAAAUGAGUUUGUUAGAGGAAAUAGUGGGUUGACAUCCGGCUCCAUCCAUUAAUGGUGUGGUAAGUAUGAUUGCCAAUAUUACGGCAGAUUCCCAAUUAAUCUAACAGAUUUGAUCAGCACAAAGGAAAGACCCUGAGCUUAUAACAAUUGUAGAAGAUGUGAAGUUGGGAAAUAGAGACGAAUUCUCUAUAUGUAGUGAGGAUUUGCUAAGAUUCAUAUGUCGGGUUUGUGUCCCGAAUGAUGAGAGUGUGAAGAAAGCUAUCUUGGAAAAAGCACAUCCCUCUCGUUAUACGAUAUAUCCGGAAAGUAUUAAAAUGUAUCAGGACCUGAAAAAAACCGUUUGGUGGAAUAAUGUGAAAAAAGAGGUAGCAUUAUAAAGUGCCUAAUAUGCCAGCAAGUAAAAGCUGAGCAUCAAAGUCCCGCUGGGUUGUUGCAGCCUUUACCCGUGCCAGAGUGGAAGUGGGAGCACAUCUCUAUAGAUUUUGUCUCUGGCUUGCCUAAAACAAAUUCAAGACAUGAUAACAUUUGGGUCAUUGUAGACCGGCUGACCAAAGCUGCCCACUUUCUGUCGAUUCGCACGACUUUCACUUUGGAUCGACUAGCCCAGUUGUAUAUUAAGGAAAUAGUGCGGUUGUAUGGAGUUCCGAUCAGUAUUGUAUCAGACAGGGAUACUCGGAUUACUUAUAAAUUUUACGCUAGGCUACAAUCAGCCAUGGGGACGAGACUCACCUUUAGCACUGCCUUUCACCCCCAAACUGAUAGACAAUCAAAGAGGACCAUCCAAACCUUGGAAUAUAUGCUGAGGGCCUGUGUCAUUGACUUUACAAGAAGCUGGGAUGACCAUUUACCCCUAAUUGAGCUUACUUAUAAUAAUAGCUUCCAAGCUAGUAUUUAGAUGGCACCAUAUGAAGCCCUAUAUGGAAGGAAAUGCAGGUCACCCAUAUGGUUGAACGAGGUUGGUGAAAGAAAGCUUUUGGGGCAGAAAUUGUCCAAGUAACCACAGAUAAGAUAGCAUUAAUUCGAGAAAGGCUCAGGACAGCUCAGAGUCGGCAAAAGAGUUAUGCCGAUAACCGACGGAGAGAUCUUGAAUUUGAGGAAGGUGAUCGAGUUUUCCUAAAGAUCUCACCAAUAAAAGGCAUUAUGAGAUUCGGCAAGAAAGGAAAGCUGAGCUCACGUUACAUCGGAUCAUUUGAAAUCCUAGAAAGAAUCGAAGGCGUCGCUUAUAGACUUGCCUUACCAUCCGAAUUGGCAAAAUUUCCAUAAUGUCUUUCAUGUAUCAUCAUUACGAUAAUAUUAGCCCGACCAAUCCCAUAUCUUGAAAUAUGAACCUUUACCGAUCAGGAAGGACCUAUCCUUCAUUGAGCAGCCAAUUUUGAUACUGGAUAGAAAGGUACAAGUGUUGUGUAAAAAGGCGAUUCUUUUGGUACGUAGAUUAUGGAAGUACCAUUCAAAAAAGGAGUCGACUUAAGAAUGAGAAGACGAAAUCAGAGAAAAAUAUCUCUAUCUUUUUAAGCAAUCAGGUACACAAAUUUAGAGGAUUAAAUUUCUUUAAAAGGGGAAAGAAUGUAAUAAUCCUAAAAUUUAAAAAAUAAAUAAUUAAAUAAAAAUAAAAAUAAAAAUAAAAAGGAAACUUUUAAUAAGUGAUGGUUCAUAUGAGUACGAUGGUCCCUAAGGACCAUCACUACUUUCAAAAGCUUUUACCUUCAUUUGGUUUAAGAUUUGUUGCUUUGGCAUGUCCUUUAGUGGACGUGGUUUUCCGGUGUUAAAGGCGAACUUUUACGCUCCACCUCAUACAUGAGGUGGAGGCGUUUUAAAAGAUUUAAGUAGGGUGAAGGGUAAGGUGUCGCCUCACAGAACUCCACUCUCGCUCUCCCUCUUACAAACACAGUGAGCUCCUCUCUCUAGCCGAAUUUUUAUCGGAAGCUCCUUCUCAAAUAUUUUAGGUAAGUGACUUCAUUAUCUGGAAAAAUAAUCCGUUCUUUUUAAAAAUGAAAUGAAAUAAUUUCUUCUGCUUAUUAUCAUGAAUUUUAGGCGCGAUAAAUUUUAUGCGCAAACGACCUCAUUAUUUUGAAAAAAUAAAUUAAUAGUAAAAUUGUGAAAUUUUAUUUACUGUUAGGAAUUUUAAAUAUUGUAAAUCAUUAGAAAAAAAAUAAUUGUUCUCCCAUAUAUUCCUUAUAUACGUAUGAGUUCUGAGGAUAACAAGAAAGCACGCUUUGAUGUUUCUCUUGGAGUAGUCCUUCUCCGACCAUCCGUUUUUAACAGCCUAGUAAUGAGGUCUUCCUUCACUUAUAUAAUUUUUACUUCUGCCUUGUAGUCGGCAAUUUCAAGCGGCUUGACCAUCCGACAAGGGUUAGUUCCUCCAAAGAAAAUAAAAAGACGAGUGCAGUAUCCGUACAAAGUAAAACUUAGGAACUCUAAACCUUGAAUCUCUUAGACCAUUUUGAAGGUCCAGAGCUAUAUAUGGUUCCGAUGAAUCAAAUCUGAUGAGCAACUGUAAGUGACCUCAUUGUCUCGAAAAAUAAUCUUUUUAAUAAAAUUUUGAUAUUUUAUCUAUGUUAGAAAUUUUAAAUACUGUAAAUUCUUAGAAAUAAAUUUAUUUUUCUUGUCUAUUGUUAGAAAAUUUUAGAUACUGUAAAAUUAUUAGAAAUAAAUGUGAUAUUUCUGCUUUUAGUAAAAUUGUGAUAUUUCUUUCUACUGUUUUUGAAUAUUUAGACAUUGUAAAAUUCAUANNNNNNNNNNNNNNNNNNNNUCCAAGGGUGGGAGAAGACAAGAGAGGGGAUUCUAAAGAAGACUGUCCGGAUGGGGGGGGGCGGUUGUGCUGCAAUAUAAGAAGUGACUGAGUCUAAAAAAUCCAAUCAAUCGCUAGCUGAGGUAGCACCAGCCUUGGCAAGGGCAUCUGUGUCUGUGUUACUCUCUCGCCAAAUGUGAUUCUAGAAGUGAGAGAGGGAGCUUGUCAGGUGGGAAAUUUCAGCAGGUAACAAGGGCAAGCAGUGGAGCCUGAAGCCCAGGUGAUAGUAUUCCGAGAGUCAUCUUUGAUUAUUAGUCCAGGGCUCCAGGAAGGGUUGAAUAGUUUGAGCCCUUCGAGGAGGGCAAGCGCCUCUGCUAAUUGGGCAUCAGCAUGGCCAAUGGUCGAGAAAGAGGCCAGAAUAGAACCUUGGUGAAUUACCUCAUUUCCCCGAAUGGAAUGCUUCUGAAAUUUGUCCACCUCCUCGACAGAAGUCGGAUGAUGAGUUUUUCCGUUCCUGAGAUUCCUCCUCCAGGUCAGCUGCAAUCUGAAAAAGAUUAGGAUUUUUGUUCGGCAGUGUAUCUUCACCAUACCAUAGAUCCCUCUAGAUGCUCACUAGGUGUCGUCAUUUGGCGAAUAAUCUAAUGUGUUUGCUGAAUUCAUUUUGUAUAAGAUUGAUGGUCUCUUCCGGAUGUGAAAAGGUUUUGUUGGAUAUCAGAUUCACCAUCUUAGGUAGCCAACCCCUUCGCAUGGUUCCAUAUUUGCUAGCGAUCACCUGAAGCCAGAGAUGGUUCUUAUUUGUCACAAAUCUCCAAAGCCGUGCUCUGUUUACCUCUCUUAGCUUUGUAGGUCCAAAGCCCCCAUCAUCAUUUAAUGUCAAACUGUGUCCCAGGCUACAAGUGAAAUCUCUCCCCUUCCCCAUUCCACAGGAAUUUCACUUGUAACCCCUCUAUUAGCAACCGGCAUCUAAUACAGGUUCAUAUGAUUCACUGCUAUAUUUGAGAGUGUGGCCUUAUCAUCAUAGUCUUUCCUCCCACAGAGGCAUAAUUCUAUUUCGUGGAUGCAACUCUUCUCGUCAUUCUUUCUACUAUAUCCCAAACAUCUUUUUGCAAAGUAGUCCCAGUUGUGUUCAGUGACUGAUCUGUGCGGCGCCUUACUCUUCAUUUUCUUAUUUCACCAAUUGUGCUUCCAAAAGCCCCCACUCCUAUGAGCUUAGGCCAUGCUAUAUUUGAUUCUUGAUUUUGAUGUUAUUUAUUAGAAAAUCAUACGGAUAGCCACAAAUCGUCAACUUGGCGUGGUUGUGCAUCCCAGGAAACCAAUAUAUCAUCACCACACUAAAGGUGGUGAGAAGAGGUAGUUCAUAUACAUUCGAGAUAAUGGAAUGUCCUGAUGAUAGGAAAGUGGCUUAGGCAGUUUUUAUGUUAAAACUUGAAGCACAACACUGGUGGCGAAUGGCAAAAGUAGUAUUGGUCAAAGAAAACAAACCCUUGACUUGGGAGGUAUUUUUAGAGGCAUUCAAUGAAAAAUAUUUCCCAGAUUUUAUUCGAGAGAAAAAAGAAAUGGAAUUUCUGAAAUUAAUCCAAGGAAACCGGAUAGUAGCACAGUACGAGGCCAAGUUUACUGAAUUGACAAAGUUUGCACCACAUAUGAUUAAUAAUGAGGCAAGAAAGGUGAAAAAAUUUGAAAGGGGUCUCAGACCAGUUAUUAGAGGAAGAAUAUCUGUCUUAAAAUUGAGAACUUAUGUUGAAAUAGGGGAUCGAGCCCAAAUUGUCGAAAAAGAUUGCGAAGAUUGCCCAAAGAUGAAAAUAAAAAAAAUCAGGUUAGACCCACACCAUCUUAUCAACAACAGUUUGAAAGGGCAAACAAGAAGCCAAGAGCCUUGCCACUUCAAAGCUCAAUAGAACCAUGUAAAAAAUGUGGAAAAACGCAUGGAUCGAGCCCUUGUUAUUAGAAUACUGGAGCAUGUUUUAAAUAUGGAAAAUUGGGGCACCAGAUUAGAGAAUGUCCUAGCUUACAGAUGCAACAGCUUCCAAAGCAAUGAGAGAUAGCUCAAAAGCCUCAGAUGAAGGGAAGAGUAUUUGCAAUCACUCAGCAAGAUGUUCAAGCCUCAAAAUCAGUGAUCCAAGGUACUCUUAUUAUCUUCCAAAAAGUAGCUCAUGUUUUGAUUGAUCCUGGAUCUACUCAUUCAUUUGUGUCACCACAUUUUGCAUGCCACUUAAAGGUAGAACCAGAACAAUUAGAAUACAUUAUAGAGGUAGCCACACCGAUGGGAAAUUCAAUUGACACCAAUAUAGUGUACAAAUCCUGUAUAAUAAAGAUGGAAGAAAAUGAAUUGUUGGUUGAUUUAAUACUCCUAAAAAUUCAAAAUUUUGAUGUAAUCUUAGGCAUAGAUUGACUUUCUGCAUACCAUGCAAGUAUUGAUUGUUACAAAAAAAUGGUUACCUUUAGUAUUCCGAAUCAACCAGUAUUUUACUUCAAUGGUAUCAAAGAAGACUUCCCAUCAUAUUUAAUCUCGUGUAUUCGAGCUAAUCGCCGCCUUCGAAAAGGGUGUCAAGGCUUUCUUGCCUAUAUCAAAGAAGAUUGGAAGGAAGAGAUAAAUUUGGAUACCACUUCGGUUAUCCGAGAAUUUCCCGACGUUUUCUCUAAAGAAUUGCCAAGAUUACCGCCUGACAGUGAAAUUGAAUUCUCUAUUGAAUUAUUGCCAAGGGUAGCCUCAAUUUCUAAGGCACCUUACAUAAUGGCACUUGCAGAACUUAAGAAACUUAAACAACAAUUGGAAAAAUUAUUUGAUAAAGGUUUUAUCAGGCCCAAUAUGUCACCUUGGGGUGCUCCGGUAUUGUUUGUUCAAAAGAAAGAUGGGACCAUGAGAUUGUGUAUCGAUUAUAGACAGUUGAACCAAGUGAUAGUGAAAAAUAAGUAUCCAUUACCUAAAAUUAUUGAUUUAUUUGAUCAAUUACAAGAAUCACAAGUGUUUUAAAAAAUUGAUCUUAGAUCUGGAUACCAUCAGCGUAAGAUUAAAAGUGAAGAUGUUCCCAAGACAGCUUUCAGAACAAGGUAUGGCUGUUAUGAAUUUUUGGUCAUGCCUUUUGGAUUAACAAAUGCACCGGCUGUAUUUAUGUAUUUGAUGAAUCAGAUCUUUAAGCCCUUUUUGGAUAAAUUUAUUGUGGUAUUCAUCGAUGAUAUUUUAAUUUAUUCCAAGAAUCGGAACGAACAUAAGCAGCAUGUAAGAAUGGUAUUGCAAAUAUUAAGAGAAAAAAAAUUGUAUGCCAAACUUAGUAAAUGUGAAUUUUGGCUUGAACAAGUGAUAUUUUUAGGACAUGUCAUAUCAAAGGAAGGUCUAUCAGUUGAUUCUUCAAAGGUUGAAACCGUUGUUAAUUGGAAACAACCAAGUAAUGUGACUGAAGUUUGAAGCUUUUUGGGAUUGGCAGUAUAUUACAAAAAAUUUGUAGAAGGAUUUUCUUGAAUCGCAACCCCAUUGACUUGAUUGACACUGAAAAAUGUCAAAUUCUGGUGGACAAGUAAAUGUGAGGAGAGUUUUCAAAAACUAAAAGUUCGAUUAACUUCAGCCCUUAUUUUAACUAUUCCUAAUGAGAGUGGGGGAUUUGUGAUUUAUAGUGAUGCCUCACAUAAAUGCUUGGGCUUUGUAUUAAUGCAAUAUGGAAAAGUAGUGGCAUAUGCAUUCAGAUAGUUGAAAGAGUAUUAGAAAAUAUCCAACUCAUGACUUAGAGGUGGCUGCAAUAGUAUACGCUUUGAAAAUGUGGAGGCAUUAUCUAUAUGUUGAGCAAUUCGAAAUAUACACGGAUCAUAAGAGCUUGAAAUACCUCUUCUCUCAGAAGGAUUUAAAUAUACGGCAGAUAAGAUGGAUGGAUUUCUUAAAAGAUUAUGAUUGUACAAUCCAUUAUCAUUCAGGAAAAGCUAACGUUGUGGCCGGCGCUCUAAGUAGAAAAUCUACGGGAGUCUUAGCUCAUCUAAUGAUCCAAGAAAUGAGAUUGUUAGAGGAACUAGUGGAUUGGCAUCUGGCUCCAUCCAUUAAUGGUGUGGUAAGUAUGAUUGCCACCACUACGGCAGAACCCCAAUUAAUCCAACAGAUUCGAUCAGCACAAAGGAAAGACUCUCAGCUCAUAAUAAUUGUAGAAGAGGUAAAGCUGGGAAAGAGAGAAAAAUUCUCUAUAUGCAGUGAGGAUUUGCUAAGAUUCAAAUGUCGGGUUUGUGUCCCAAAUGAUGAGAGUGUGAAUAAAGCUAUCUUGAAAGAAGCACAUCACUCUCGUUAUACGAUACAUCCCCGAAAGUAUUAAAAUGUAUCAGGACUUGAAAAAAAAUCUUUUGGUGGAAUAAUGUGAAAAAAGAGGUAGCACUAUUUGUGUCUAACUGCCUAACAUGCCAGCAAGUAAAAGCUGAGCAUCAAAGGCCCGCUGGGUUGUUGCAGCCUUUAGCCGUGCUAGAGUGGAAGUGGGAGCACAUCUCUAUGGAUUUUUUCUCUGGCUUGCCUAGAACAAAUUCAAGACAUGAUAGCAUUUGGGGCAUUGUAGACUGGCUGACCAAAGCUGCCCACUUUCUGUCGAUUCGCAAGACUUACACUUUAGAUCGACUGACCCAUUUGUAUAUUUAGGAAAUAGUGCGGUUGCAUGGAGUUCCGGUCAGUAUUGUAUCGGACAGGGAUACUCGGAUUACGUAUAAAUUUUGGGCUAGGCUAGAGUCAGCCAUGGGGACGAGACUCACCUUUAGCAUUGCCUUUCACCCCCAAACUGAUGGACAAUCAAAGAGGACCAUCCAAACCUUGGAAGAUAUGCUGAGGGCCUGUGUCAUUAACUUUACAGGAAGCUGAGAUGACCAUUUACCCCUGAUUGAGUUUGCUUAUAAUAAUAGCUUUCAAGCUGUAUUCAGAUGGCACCAUAUGAAGCCCUGUAUGGAAGAAAAUGCAGGUCACCCAUCUGUUGGAACGAUGUUGGUGAAAGAAAGCUUUGGGGCCAGAAAUUGUCCAGGUAACUACAGAUAAGAUAGCAUUAAUUCGUGAAAGGCUCAGGACAGCUCAGAGUCGACAAAAGAGUUAUGCCGAUAUCGAGAGAGAGAUCUUGAUUUUGAGGAAGGUGAUCGAGUUUUCCUAAAGAUCUCACCAAUGAAAGACAUUAUGAGAUUCGACAAGUAAGGAAAGCUGAGCCCAUGUUACAUCGGACCAUUGAAAUCCUAGAAAGAAUCGAAGGUGCUUAUAGACUUGCCUUACCACCCGAAUUGGCAAACGUCUAUAAUGUCUUCCAUGUAUCAUCACUACGAAAAUAUUAGUCCGACCCAUCCCAUAUAUUGAAAUAUGAACCUUUACCAAUCAGGAAGGACCUAUCCUUCAUUGAGCAACCAAUUUUGAUACUGGAUAGAAGGGUACAAGUGUUGCGCAAAAAGGAGAUUCCUUUAGUUCAUAUAUUAUGGCAAUACCAUUCAAAAGAGGAGUCGACUUGGGAACGAGAAGAUGAAAUCAGAGAAAAAUAUUAUUAUAUUUUUCAGUAAUUAGGUACACAAAUUUAGAGGACUAAAUUUGUUUAAAAGGGGGAAGAAUAUAAUAAUCCUAAAAUUUAAAAAAUAAAUAAAUAAAUAAAUAAAUAAAUAAAAAUAUAAAAAUAAAAAAGAAACUUUUAAUAAGUGAUGGUCCAUAUGAGCAUGAUGGUCCCUAAGGACCAUCACUACUUUUAAAAGCUUUUACCUUCAUUUGGUUUAAGCUUUGUUUCAUUGGCACGUCCUUUAGUGGACGUGGUUUACAUAUAUUAAAGGCAGACAUUUACGCUACACCUCAUACAUGAGGUGGGGGCGUUUUAAAAGAUUUAAGUAGAGUGAAGGGUAAGGUCUCGCCUUACAGAACUCCACUCUCGCUCUCCCUCUUACAAACACAUUGAGCUUCUCUCUCUAGCCGAAUUUUUAUCGGAAGCUCCCUCUCAAAUAUUUUAGGUAAGUGACUUCAUUAUCUUGAAAAAUAAUCCGUUCUUUUUAAAAAUGAAAUGAAAUAAUUUCUUCUGCUCAUUAUCAUGAAUUUUAGGCGCGAUAAAUUUUAUGCGCAAGCGACCUCAUUAUUUUGAAAAAAUAAACUAGUAGUAAAAUUGUGAAAUUUUAUUUACUGUUAGGAAUUUUUGAUAAUGUAAAUCAUUAGAAAAAAAACAAGUCUUUUCCCUUAUAUUCCUUAUAUACAUAUGAGUUAUGAGGACAACAGGAAAGCAGGCCUUGAUUUUUCUUUUGAAGUAGUCCUUCCCCGACCAUCCCUUUUUAACAGCCUAGUAAUGAGGUCUUCCUUCGCUUAUAUAAUUUUUACUUCUGCCAUGUAGUCGACAAUAUCAAUGGGCUUGACCAUACGACAAGGGUUAGUUCCUCCAAAGAAAAUAAAAAGGCGAGAGCAGUAACCGUUCAAAGUAAAACUUAGGGACUCGAAACCUUGAAUCUCUUAGACCAUUUUGAAGGUCCAGACCUAUAUAUGGUUCCGAUGAAUCAAAUCUGAUGAGCAAACUGUAAGUGACCUGAUUGUC
rnacentral:lncRNA from 1 species